AACGAACGCUGGCGGCGUGGAUAAGACAUGCAAGUCGGACGAGAUUUUUCGUUGUAGCAAUAUGAUGGGGAGUCUAGUGGCGAACGGGUGCUUAACACGUGGGCAACCUGCCAGGAAGUGGGGGAUAGCUCGCCGAAAGGCGAAUUAAUACCGCAUGUGAUUAGAGAGGACAUCCUUUCGAAAUUAAAGUCGGGGCAACCUGACGCUUCUUGUGGGGCCCGCGGCCUAUCAGCUAGUUGGUGGGGUAACGGCUCACCAAGGCUUUGACGGGUAGCUGGUCUGAGAGGACGACCAGCCACACUGGGACUGAGACACGGCCCAGACACCUACGGGUGGCAGCAGUCGAGAAUUUUUGACAAUGGGGAAACCCUGAUCGAGCGACGCCGCGUGGAGGAUGAAGGUCUUCGGAUUGUAAACUCCUGUCAUUGGGGAACAAUGCGUGACGGUUAACUGCCGUCGCGUUGAUAGUACCCGAAGAGGAAGAGACGGCUAACUCUGUGCCAGCAGCCGCGGUAAUAC
rnacentral:rRNA from 1 species